AUUGAACGCUGGCGGCAUGCCUUACACAUGCAAGUCGAACGGUAACAGGUUAAGCUGACGAGUGGCGAACGGGUGAGUAAUAUAUCGGAACGUGCCCAGUCGUGGGGGAUAACGUAGCGAAAGCUACGCUAAUACCGCAUACGAUCUACGGAUGAAAACGGGGGAUCGCAAGACAUCGCGCGAGUGGAGCGGCCGAUAUCAGAUUAGGUUGUUGGUGAGUAAAAGCUCACCAAGCCUGCGAUCUGUAGCUGGUCUGAGAGGACGACCAGCCACACUGGAACUGAGACACGGUCCAGACUCCUACGGGAGGCAGCAGUGGGGAAUUUUGGACAAUGGACGCAAGUCUGAUCCAGCAAUGCCGCGUGCAGGACGAAGGCCUUCGGGUUGUAAACUGCUUUUGUACGGAACGAAACGGUGAGCUCUAAUACAGUUUGCUAAUGACGGUACCGUAAGAAUAAGCACCGGCUAACUACGUGCCAGCCGCCGCAGUAA
rnacentral:rRNA from 1 species